CAGUAGCCGCGGGAAUACGAAGGGGGCUAGCGUUGCUCGGAAUUACUGGGCGUAAAGGGAGCGUAGGCGGACAUUUAAGUCAGGGGUAAAAUCCCAGAGCUCAACUCUGGAACUGCCUUUGAUACUGGGUGUCUUGAGUGUGAGAGAGGUGAGUGGAAUUCCGAGUGUAGAGGUGAAGUUCGUAGAUAUUCGGAAGAACACCAGUGGCGAAGGCGGCUCACUGGCUCAUACUGGACGCUGAGGUGCGAAAGCGUGGGGAGCAAACAGGAUUAGAUACCCCGGUAGUCCCUGUCUCUUAUAC
rnacentral:rRNA from 1 species